CCCAACGCAGCCAAAAAAGAUAAAUAAAAUAAUAAUAAUAAUAUAAGCCAGGAAAAUCACUAGAAAAGUAAACGUUUUACCUUUUUUUUUUUUUUUUUUUUUUUUAGCUGCACUGUGUGCCAUGCAAGAUCUUAGUUCCCUGAGCAGGGAUCAAACCUGUGCCCCCUGCAGUGGAAGCGUGGAGUCUUAACCACUGGACCACCAGAGAAGUCCCAGGAAAACAUUCACUUUUGAUAGGAAUAUAUUAGGACAUCUCAUAUCCUCAGGUGUACAGAUUAAGCUUCGAGUGCAGCCUCAAGACUCAAGGGAAACAGAAUGAUUAUGAGCCCUCCCACAGAACCCUGGUGCUCAAUGGAUUUCCUCUAAUCAGACAACAAUGCACAUCACUGCUCCAGAUGAACUACCAUGAAAAAAGGGUCAAUGUGUUCUGUGAAACUCUGUGCAUGGGGAAGCUAAGAAUGUCUGAUGUCCUUGGGAUAGUGAUGAUAUUGAGGCGAGGCUAGGAAAAGAGCUGCAAUACGUACAAAAAUAUCCCUUUGACUUUAGUCCCUUGUGGGCUACACACAUUUCUAUGUGAAUCUACUUAUUUCCUUCUUACCAGAAGCACCUGCUAUUCCUGUCUCCCUGGGAACUUGUGGCCCCCCUCUCGCUAUUUGAACAGCCUUGGUCCUGACCUGUGGGCAUGUAUGUGUGAGGUGUGUGGCCAGGGGGUAUGAAAGUGAGGGGAGAGAGGACCUCUUUGUGAGUCAAAAAAUAAAAUGUUAAAAGGUA